rnacentral:rRNA from 1 species
GCAGCAGUGGGGAAUAUUGGGCAAUGGAGGAAACUCUGACCCAGCGACGCCGCGUGCGGGAUGAAGGCCUUCGGGUUGUAAACCGCUUUCAGUAGGGAAGAAGCGAAAGUGACGGUACCUACAAAAGAAGCACCGGCUAACUAUGUGCCAGCAGCCGCGGUAAUACAUAGGGUGCAAGCGUUGUCCGGAAUUAUUGGGCGUAAAGAGCUCGUAGGUCGUUUGUUACGUCGGAUGUGAAAACCUGAGGCUCAACCUCAGGCCUGCAUUCGAUACGGGCAAACUAGAGUUUGGUAGGGGAGACUGGAAUUCCUGGUGUAGCGGUGGAAUGCGCAGAUAUCAGGAGGAACACCAAUGGCGAAGGCAGGUCUCUGGGCCAAUACUGACACUGAGGAGCGAAAGUCUGGGGAGCGAACAGGAUUAGAU